CCCGUGCUUAUGUAACAAUCCUCUACCAACAUAUCCUCACAAGAGCUUGUUCAAAUUCUGAUUUCCCAGCCCAAAUUUGAGAGAAAUCUGAGAUAUUUGGUAACUCUUGUUCUCUCCUUUGCCAUUGUUAGACUGAAGUUGAAAACACUAUGAAUUAUGUUGAUUGUUCAUACGAUGUUCCAUAAUUAAUCCUCUACCAACA
rnacentral:lncRNA from 1 species